ensembl:snRNA U6 U6 spliceosomal RNA
GUGGCUGCGUCAGCAGCACAUAUCCUAAAACUGGAAUGAGGCAGAGGAGAUUAGCAUGGCCCUUGCUCAAGGAUGACAUGGAAAUUCAUGAAGUAUUCUAUAUUUAA